GCUAACUACGUGCCAGCAGCCGCGGUAAUACGUAGGUGGCGAGCGUUGUCCGGAUUUACUGGGCGUAAAGGGUGCGUAGGCGGAUGUUUAAGUGGGAUGUGAAAUCCCCGGGCUUAACCUGGGGGCUGCAUUCCAAACUGGAUAUCUAGAGUGCAGGAGAGGAAAGCGGAAUUCCUAGUGUAGCGGUGAAAUGCGUAGAGAUUAGGAAGAACACCAGUGGCGAAGGCGGCUUUCUGGACUGUAACUGACGCUGAGGCACGAAAGCGUGGGUAGCAAACAGGAUUAGAUACCCUUGUAGUC
rnacentral:rRNA from 1 species